AUUGAACGCUGGCGGCAGGCUUAACACAUGCAAGUCGAGCGGGGGAGGUUGCUUCGGUAACUGACCUAGCGGCGGACGGGUGAGUAAUGCUUAGGAAUCUGCCUAUUAGUGGGGGACAACAUUCCGAAAGGGAUGCUAAUAACGCAUACGCCCUACGGGGGAAAGCAGGGGAUAUUCGGACCUUGCGCUAAUAGAUGAGCCUAAGUCGGAUUAGCUAGUUGGUGGGGUAAAGGCCUACCAAGGCGACGAUCUGUAGCGGGUCUGAGAGGAUGAUCCGCCACACUGGGACUGAGACACGGCCCAGACUCCUACGGGAGGCAGCAGUGGGGAAUAUUGGACAAUGGGCGGAAGCCUGAUCCAGCCAUGCCGCGUGUGUGAAGAAGGCCUUUUGGUUGUAAAGCACUUUAAGCGAGGAGGAGGCUCUUAAGGUUAAUACCCUUGAUGAGUGGACGUUACUCGCAGAAUAAGCACCGGCUAACUCUGUGCCAGCCGCCGCUGUAACAC
rnacentral:rRNA from 1 species